AGCCCCUGAAUCUAUAAUACUUUUAAGAUAAAGUCCUUUAAUCUUAUGUGAUAAUGGCUCCUAGGAGCUUACCUUUCCAUCUUCCAUAGGCUGACUCCUUUGGUUUCUCUUUAAUGUUAGGUUGACAUAUAGAAUUGUCAAUAUCGGACCCUGUUUUAUCUACUAAAAGUCCUUCCAACAGCUCUGAGAGAGAGACCUGGACUAUUACUAUUUUCAUCCUACAGAUAAACUGAGGCACAGAGGGUAGAUUUCUCAUUAUCUUCACCGAUUUUCUGAACCCGUGAAUACUUUUUGCAUGAGGAUUUAAAGCAGCCAGGGGGCCAGGAGAGUG